AACUGGAGCCUGAGAACAAGACCACAGUUUGAGGAGGGGUUCACCUCUCCACUGGGCUUUACUGGUGGGUUAGUGGUAAAGAAUCUGCCAGCCAAUGCAGGAGAUGCUCUCUGCAGGCAUCACACAAGCCAUGUCUGCGCAGAUGGCCCCCUGAAUCUAAGAUGACAGCUGCUGCUCCAUCUUUUGCAAACCACUGGAGAGAAGAAAGAAAGCCAUCUGGAAUUUCAAGCUUCUCAGCAGAUUUGGCCCUGCCUGCAGCCCCUGGAAGCAGGAGAACCAUCCUCCCAGCUCCUUGUACCCAGGGGGACUGUGAUUCAGAUCAAGGUUCGAGGCUACAGCCUGAAUUCACUUCCUUACAGACUGGGCACCACCGGCCCUCCCAGCACCUCCUGCUGCACAGGAAGAGGGCCUGGGAGAUGGGCUCCCAGAACCCACUGCAGUCGACAGCUUGCUGCAUGCGGGGCAUCAUCAUCUCAGAUCACACUCAUCAUCAGCCUUAUGCAUCUUCCUCACCAAGUGCUCCAGCAGCUUGCAGGGGGCCCUGGAAACACUCUGUCAGAGUCUGGCCUGAGCUCUUAAUAGAACCAGGUUUUAGGGUCUAGAUACUUGGGCUACUUGAAGGAAGCUGACCCAAAGGGCUUGCUUUCUAGAACCCUCUUUUCUAUCUGUAGACUUCAUUGUAAGAAUUUAGACCAAAAAUCUACUUUCCUGAGGCAUCUUUUUCUUUUUGCCUUGCGUACAGAGUACCAAUACCCAACCCCCUUAAUCCCAACACCCCCUUCUUCUAACAUCCAGUGUCAUGGCAUCAAAGACAGAAAGGAGUGGCCUGACCCAGCAGUUAACAGUGGGACCCUGGAACUGCUCUGCCUGCAUCCAAAUACUGGUCCUACCACUGCUCUUCAUGUGAUCUAACUGAUCUGAGCCUUGGUUUUCUCAUCUGAGAAAUGGGGGUGUUCUGUUAUGUCUUUAUAAAGUUCACAUUGAAGCCCUAACCCCCAUUGUCUCAGGAUGGGGCUCUAUUUGGAGACACUGUUUUAAAGAGAUGAUUAAGUUAAAAUGAGGUCAAUUAAGGUGGGUCCUAAUCCAAUCUGACUGGUGUCCUUAUAAGAAGAGGAAAUUUAAAUAUACAAAAAGCCAUCAGGGAAGCGUGCCCGCAGAGGGAAGGUCGUGUGAGGACACAGCCAGGUGGCAGCCGUGUGCAUAUCCAGGAUAGAGGCCUUGGGAGGAACUGCCCUGCUGACACCCUGACCGUGGACUUGCAGUCUCCAGAGCAAUAAAUUUCUAUUGUUUAAGGCCCCCAGUUGUGGCAUUUGGUUAUGGCAGCCUGGGGGACUGAGACAGGGGUGUCUGUAAC
ensembl:lncRNA